GCUCAAAAAAUCAAACAGGCCAUCAUCCACCCCGACACCAACGAGACCAUCUUCAUGCCUUUCCGAAUGUCAGGUUACAUUCCCUUUGGAACCCCCAUUGUGAGUAUUUGGUUGUGGGGUCCCCAGCAAUGAAU